rnacentral:rRNA from 1 species
AGAGUUUGAUCCUGGCUCAGGACGAACGCUGGCGGCGUGCUUAACACAUGCAAGUCGAACGAUGAAGCCGGGGCUUUUUGUUUUGGUGGAUUAGUGGCGAACGGGUGAGUAAUACGUGAGUAACCUGCCCUUGUCUUUGGGGUAAGCCUGGGAAACUGGGUCUAAUACCGGAUAUUCUGCUUUUGCCGCAUGGUGGGGGUUGGAAAGAUUUUUUGGAUGGGGAUGGGCUCACGGCCUAUCAGCUUGUUGGUGGGGUGAUGGCCUACCAAGGCGUCGACGGGAAGCCGGCCUGAGAGGGUGACCGGCCACAUUGGGACUGAGAUACGGCCCAGACUCCUACGGGAGGCAGCAGUGGGGAAUAUUGCACAAUGGACGCAAGUCUGAUGCAGCGACGCCGCGUGGGGGAUGAAGGCUUUCGGGUUGUAAACUCCUUUCAGUACAGAAGAAGCAUUUUUUGUGACGGUAUGUGCAGAAGAAGCGCCGGCUAACUACGUGCCAGCAGCCGCGGUAAUACGUAGGGCGCGAGCGUUGUCCGGAAUUAUUGGGCGUAAAGAGCUCGUAGGCGGUUUGUUGCGCCUGCUGUGAAAGACCGGGGCUUAACUUCGGGGUUGCAGUGGGUACGGGCAGACUAGAGUGUGGUAGGGGUAAUUGGAAUUCCUGGUGUAGCGGUGGAAUGCGCAGAUAUCAGGAGGAACACCGAUGGCGAAGGCAGGUUACUGGGCCAUUACUGACGCUGAGGAGCGAAAGCGUGGGUAGCGAACAGGAUUAGAUACCCUGGUAGUCC